UACGUAGGCAGCGAGCGUUGUUCGGAGUUACUGGGCGUAAAGCGUGCGUAGGCGGUGAUCUAAGUCUGUUGUGAAAUCUCCCGGCUUAACCGGGAGGGUGCGGCGGAAACUGGGUUGCUGGAGUGCGGGAGAGGUAAGCGGAAUUCCCGGUGUAGCGGUGAAAUGCGUAGAUAUCAGGAGGAACACCGGUGGCGAAGGCGCACAUCUGGCCCGAUACUGACGCUGAGGCGCGAAAGCUAGGGGAGCAAACGGG
rnacentral:rRNA from 1 species